UACGUAGGGGCCGAGCGUUGUCCGGAGUUAUUGGGCGUAAAGCGCGCGCAGGCGGCCUCGCGCGCCCGACGUGAAAGCCCCCGGCUUAACCGGGGAGGGUCGUUGGGGACGGCGGGGCUUGAGGGCGGGAGAGGUCGGUGGAAUUCCCGGUGUAGUGGUGAAAUGCGUAGAGAUCGGCAGGAACACCCAGGGGGAAACCAGCCGACUGGGCAUCUGCUGACGCUGAGGAGCGAAAGCGUGGGGAGCGAACAGG
rnacentral:rRNA from 1 species